UUGAAAGCUGGCGUCUUCGGCGUCCGCAUUGUAAUCUCAAGAAGUGUUUUCCGCUUCGGACCAAGCCUAAGUCCCCUGGAAAGGGGCAUCAUAGAGGGUGAUAAUCCCGUACAUGGCUUGGAGCGCCCGAGGCUUUGUGAUACGCUUUCUAAGAGUCGAGUUGUUUGGGAAUGCAGCUCAAAAUGGGUGGUAAAUGCCAUCUAAGGCUAAAUAUUGGGGAGAGACCGAUAGCGAACAAGUACAGUGAUGGAAAGAUGAAAAGAACUUUGAAAAGAGAGUUAAACAGUACGUGAAAUUGCCAAAAGGGAAGGGUAGGAGGUCAGAGAUGCGGCCUGGGAUUCAGCCUUGCUUUUGCUUGGUGUUUUUCCCAGAUUGCAGGCCAACGUCGGUUUUGGGCACUGGAGAAGGGUAGGAGGAACGUGGCACCCCUCGGGGUGUGUUAUAGCCUCCUACUGGAUACAGCGACCGAGACCGAGGACAGCAGCGUACUCGCAAGAGCGGGCCUUCGGGCACCUUUACGCUUAGGGCGUUGGCAUAAUGGCCCUCUACCACCCGUCU
rnacentral:rRNA from 1 species